GUGCUCUCUUUAGCAGUACAUAUGCAAAAAUUGAAACAAUACAGAAAUCAGCAUGGCCCCUGCACCAAGAUGGCAUGCACAUUCAUGAAGCAUUCUGUAUUUAA
ensembl:snRNA U6 U6 spliceosomal RNA